rnacentral:rRNA from 1 species
AUUGAACGCUGGCGGCAGGCUUAACACAUGCAAGUCGAGCGGAGAUGAGGUGCUUGCACCUUAUCUUAGCGGCGGACGGGUGAGUAAUGCUUAGGAAUCUGCCUAUUAGUGGGGGACAACAUUCCGAAAGGAAUGCUAAUACCGCAUACGCCCUACGGGGGAAAGAAGGGGAUCUUCGGACCUUGCGCUAAUAGAUGAGCCUAAGUCGGAUUAGCUAGUUGGUGGGGUAAAGGCCUACCAAGGCGACGAUCUAUAGCGGGUCUGAGAGGAUGAUCCGCCACACUGGGACUGAGACCCGGCCCAGACUCCUACGGGAGGCAGCAGUGGGGAAUAUUGGACAAUGGGCGGAAGCCUGAUCCAGCCAUGCCGCGUGUGUGAAGAAGGCCUUUUGGUUGUAAAGCACUUUAAGCGAGGAGGAGGCUACCUGGAUUAAUACUCUAGGAUAGUGGACGUUACUCGCAGAAUAAGCACCGGCUAACUCUGUGCCAGCCGCCGCAGUAACAC